rnacentral:rRNA from 1 species
AUUGAACGCUGGCGGCAUGCCUUACACAUGCAAGUCGAACGGUAACAGGUCUUCGGAUGCUGACGAGUGGCGAACGGGUGAGUAAUACAUCGGAACGUGCCCGAUCGUGGGGGAUAACGAGGCGAAAGCUUUGCUAAUACCGCAUACGAUCUACGGAUGAAAGCGGGGGAUCUUCGGACCUCGCGCGGACGGAGCGGCCGAUGGCAGAUUAAGUAGUUGGUGGGAUAAAAGCUUACCAAGCCGACGAUCCGUAGCCGGGCCGAGAGGAUGAUCAGCCACACUUGGACUUGAACACCGCCCCGGCUCCUUCCGGAGGCCGCAGUGGGGAAUUUUUGACAAUUGGCCGAAGCCUGGUCCCGGCCUGCCGCCUUGCGGAUUAAGGCCUUCCGGUUGUUAACUUCCUUUUUUACGAAAGAAAAGCCUCCUUCUAAUAAAGAGGGGUCAUGACGGUACCGUAAGAAUAAGCACCGGCUAACUACGUG